rnacentral:rRNA from 1 species
CUGGUUGAUCCUGCCAGUAGUCAUAUGCUUGUCUUAAAGAUUAAGCCAUGCAUGUCUAAGUAUAAAUAGUAUACAGUGAAACUGCGAAUGGCUCAUUAAAACAGUUAUAGUUUAUUUGAUAAUUGAAUUAUACAUGGAUAACCGUGGUAAUUCUAGAGCUAAUACAUGCAGUAAGAUCCGUAAGGAUUGUAUUUAUUAGAUAUCAAACCAAUAUUCCUUCUGGUCUAUUGUGAUGAUUCAUAAUAACUGAUCGAAGCUUAGCUAGUCUAAGCUAAAUCAUUCAAGUUUCUGCCCUAUCAGCUUUCGAUGGUAGUGUAUUGGACUACCAUGGCAGUCACGGGUAACGGGGAAUUAGGGUUCGAUUCCGGAGAGGGAGCCUGAGAAACGGCUACCACAUCUAAGGAAGGCAGCAGGCGCGUAAAUUACCCAAUCCUGACUCAGGGAGGUAGUGACAAGAAAUAACAACUCGGGGCCUCACGGCUUACGAGAUUGCAAUGAGAACAAUUUAAAUCUCUUAUCUAGGAACAAUUGGAGGGCAAGUCUGGU